rnacentral:rRNA from 1 species
UACAGAGGGUGCGAGCGUUGUUCGGAAUUAUUGGGCGUAAAGGGCGCGUAGGCGGUGCCACAAGUCACCUGUGAAAUCCUCGGGCUUAACUCGGGGCCUGCAGGCGAAACUGUGGUGCUGGAGUAUGGGAGAGGUGAGUGGAAUCCCCAGUGUAGCGGUGAAAUACGUAGAUAUUGGGAGGAACACCAGUGGCGAAGGCGGCUCACUGGACCGGUUCUGACGCUGAGGCGCGAAAGCGUGGGGAGCAAACGGG